AUGGAGACCGACAUCUCAUCUUGCAAUAAGGUAAAUAAAAUAUUUUGACCAUUGUUAUCAUGGUUUGUUUUUGUUUCUAAUAGCUCCACUUGUAGAUUUAUCUUCCCUAUGCAUCCAUCGGCCGAUACAUCCUGUACAUCAUCGACAAAGAGGCACGUCGUCUAUAUAUUAUGGAUCCUAUUCAAUCAUCACAAUCGUCAGAGGAUAAAAACUUGAGGCAUUCACUGAAAUUAAAAAGUUUUUCAAGGGAUUUCAAAGAAGCACUCGAAAUAAAGCUGCCUGGGUGGAAUUUUGAUAUAUCUAAAUGGCAUCGUUUAUUUCCGGCCGGUGUUCCAACGAGUAUAGACGGGAAUGUGUCUGGCUAUUUUGUUUUUCAUUUUAUGCUCUGGUGGAACGGUAAAGAAUUGGUCAAGCCGGUUUGCGCGGAUGGGUAUGAAUUGAGGAAGCAUUUUUUAUUAUACUUGCUAAAACAUCGCGGGAAUGAAGCUAGAGGAAACUUUCCUGAUAUUGUGAAAGAAUUUCUUAAGCGCAU